AUGAUAGCUCUAUGCCGUAGUUCUGCUUUGCAUGUUACUGUCGGAUAUGCUGUUUUUGGUCUGUAUACAAUAAAGAAAUGUGAAUAUUUGAAUAGAUGCUGUGCCCAUAUAGAGUCUCCAGGACCUUGGUAUCCUUUUUGUACUGAUGCAUUGGGUGUGAUGCAUAUGUUGCUGGAGAUUGGAGAGGACCUUUUGUUGUUACAGUUCGUGAGAUCAUAUAUAAUAGCUAUGGUGACUGUUAUUUCCUUGCCACUAGUACACUGUUAUCAGUUGAGUCAUGUUCACCUAAGUCUAGUUCUUGCUCUUUUUUUUUCACUUAUGUGA
rnacentral:rRNA from 1 species